UACGUAGGGUGCGAGCGUUAAUCGGAAUUACUGGGCGUAAAGCGUGCGCAGGCGGUCUGUUAAGACCGAUGUGAAAUCCCCGGGCUUAACCUGGGAACUGCAUUGGUGACUGGCAGGCUUUGAGUGUGGCAGAGGGGGGUAGAAUUCCACGUGUAGCAGUGAAAUGCGUAGAGAUGUGGAGGAAUACCGAUGGCGAAGGCAGCCUCCUGGGCCAACACCGACGCUCAUGCACGAAAGCGUGGGGAGCAAACAGG
rnacentral:rRNA from 1 species